ensembl:snRNA U1 U1 spliceosomal RNA
AUACUUACCUGGCAGGGGAGAUACCUUGAUCAAGAAGAAGGUUCACCCAGGGUGAGGCUCGGCCAUUGCACUCCGGCUGUGCUGACCCCUGCGAAUUCCCCAAAUGUGGGAAUCUCGACUGCAUAAUUUCUGGUAGUGGGGGACUGCAUUCGUGCUCUCCCCUG